CCACUAUCACUCUUACUAAUGCACUUAAAUAAUUUGUAAAUUUAAUUAAUAAAACAUGAAUCAAAUAUUAUCAAUUAUCAAUAAAUUAUUAACAGAAGUUCUUAAAUUAAAGAUUUAAAUAAUUGUUUUUUUUCCAUUUCAAGUUUUAUUUUCAUUUAUUAAAUUAUAUUUAAAGGUGCUAGUUAUUAAAAGGAUUGGGACUCUCUCUAAAGUCUGAUUCUAUUCAGCAGAAAAUACUCAUCCAGACUUAUUUUAAAGCGCUAUCUAAUAGUCGGAUUCAAUCGAAUCGAAAAUCCGUCCGAGUUCUCAUUUACAAAACCCACCCAUUUUAUUAAAUGAUGCUUAUGUUGUCAUUAAAAAUUUUAUCUAGUUCUGAUUCUAAAGGUACAUUUACACUGGGCUAGCACCAAUCAAUUAAUCUGGCCGAACCACCAUCAAGAAAAUAAACCAGACCAAGCUCUAAAAAAAGCGUUAAGAGAUUUUUUUGUUUGAAUAAAUUACAUUUUCUUAAAAUUACAGUUUCAUUGGUGGUAUAUUUAUUUCAAAGUUUUAAGUUGGUAGAAAGGGAAAAAACUAAUAUAAAAAUAAACUAAGAUUUCCAGAACUGUGAUGAAAAGCAAAAUCAAAUCAGAAUGGUGAAAUACAUUAUUUAAGUACGUUUUGAGAUUUUUUCCUUUAUACACAUACUAAUAGGUGUUAAGAAUUGCAUUCAUUUAACGUAGAGUGUUUUAUUUUACAACAAAGGCAGCUAAUUUAAUGGCGAAAAUAUCUUUAUUUAUUCACUCGGUUGGUCCGAUGGUUUUUCUGCAUAUUUCCAAAGAAUUAUUUUAGAAUAUUCAAAUAUUAAGAAGGACCGAAUAGUGUUAGUGGCCGCUGGAAUUCUUCAAUUGGUAGAUAAUUAUCAAACUUAUAUUAAGAAUUCUGUAUAAUGUUGAAAUUGAGGCACGUUCUUGCAAAUAUUAAAAAAAAAAAAAAAAAAGUUAAUUUGCUAUUGGAGAAGCCAUGGAGCUGUAAAAUUACAUUUGAAAACGAAAAUAUCUGCUUAUUCAUUUAUUUGUAUGCUAUUACUUGUAAAAAUUAUUUAUAUACCGCAGAGCAAUUUUUCUUUUUUCUCCAAUCCGUUGCACCUUAAUUUUUUUUUGUCUCCCCCCAACUGGUAGACCCGACUGCCAUGGAUUUGAUAAAGCUAGAGCUGGGAUUGAUCAGGUAAUUUUACCGCAUGUUCGAGCAUAUUAAGACCAGUUUUAUUGCUCCAGCCUAGUGUCCAUUAACUUUGAUGGCAUUAUACCUUUCCACCGGGCAACUCUACAUAUUUAAUUAAAACUAUAUAUAUCCGUUAUAGGCGAAAAGCGUAUCUUUUAUAUAGGUCUAUGACAAAAUAGUUACUAUGGAUAGCUUUGAAAAUUUGGCAUAAAAGUAUUAAAAAAAAAAAACUGUAUAAUUGGAAGUAUGAAAUGCUAUAUUUUCAAAACUAAGAGAAUAUGGAGAAUGAGAUACUCUCAGUUCUAAAAAAGGUGGUCACUGGCAAUUUCCUACAUCUUAAUUUAAAAAAAAAAAAAACUCUGGUUUUGUUAUAACAGCAAUUAUUAUUUAUCGGAAUAAAAAUACUUUUCGAGUUGUUCUUUCAUCUCGGUACCCAAUACAAAUGUAUGAAGGGAGGUAGAAACAUUUGAAUAGUUUCUUCCUCCUUUCUUCACCAACAGUCGAGAGCCCAGUUAGAACUAUAUUUUGCAUACCAGAGAAAUUAAAUGAUCCGUUUUUAGAAUGGAGUAUUAUAUAAUUUAAUCUGUUUCCCUUUAGCUAUGGUUAAUGCUUGAUAGUAAUAAAAAGAAUUAUAAAAAAGAAGCCAUAACGAAGUGGAAAUGAGCUAGAAAUUUUGAAAAUUCGAAGCAAAAAGCGAAUUAAAAAUUUUUCGAAGCGAAACAGCUUGUAAAAAACUAAAUCUAAGUUUUAAAAAGCUAAUUUGGUGCUGAAGUGAAUAUGUAUGAUCAAAUGAGCAGAUUCGGUAUUAUGUAAACGAUGAUAGAAAAGUAAACGUCUGAUCUUAUUCGCAUGAAAAUAAACAAUAUGAAAAAAUAUACCUACAAAUUAAUGAUUGCUCUCUGUGUCGAUUCAGAUAUCGAGAAUUCCGAUUUUAUACAAUGUCGAAUGGUUUCUAUUUUCACUGCAGAACGACGCCAUUUUUUCCCGAUAAAAAGCGAUAAAUUUCGAUUUGGGGAGUAUCACGUGACAUACAGCGCACAGCGGGUGAGUUUUGCAUCCUAUUGGUCUCAUGAUAUAGAACAGUUGUCAGUAUUUCAUAGAUAUCUAUAGUCUGUAUACUAAUAGUUUUUUCUAGAAAAAUCGUCACACGUAAUGUCAUAGUUUUUAAAGCAAUAACAUCAAAUACGGAAAUAUUGCUUAUUCUUACUCAUGUUUAACAGAAUCAACAGACUGAAAAAGUUGCAAUUAAAAAUAAAUCUAAUGGAAAUAUGAAAACAAGAAAUAAUGAUAAAUUAGAAAAGUUAUAUAGAGAACUUAAGAAAGCAUCUUCUGCUGAACAAAUAAAAACAUUGUUCAGAAAGUAACUAUACGUUUACAUCAUAAAUACACGACAGGUUAUGUUCAUUAUGUUCAUUGAAAAUCAAUAAUGAUCAUUAUUCCCUUGAAGAUUAUAUAGCAAAUUUUAAGCCUGGAGUGUUAGAUUAUUUUUAUGAUAUUAUUCAAAUUUACUUUCUUUUGAAUUGAAGUACACGAAUAAGUAGGAAGAAAUUUGAUAUAUGGUAAAAUGAUGAGAUGGUGCAUGCUAUGAUUGAAAAGAAGAAAGCAUAUUUGGGAAUGUUAAAUGGAAAUGUGAGUAAGAAAUGAGAAAAAGCAUGUACAAAGAUAGU
rnacentral:lncRNA from 1 species